rnacentral:rRNA from 1 species
UNUACUUGCCUUGCGAACUGGGCUACUUGAGUGCAGGAGGGGAAAGCGGAAUUCNUAGUGUAGCGGUGAAGUGCGUAGAUAUAGGAGGANCACCAGCGGCGAAGGCGGCUUUCUGGACUGUAACUGACACUGAGGCACGAAAGCGUGGGUAGCAAACAGGAUUAGAUACCCCGGUAGUNCACGCCGUAAACGAUGAGCACUAGGUGUUGGGCCCGUUAGGGCUCAGUGCCGCAGUUAACGCAAUAAGUGCUCCGCCUGGGGAGUACGCUCGCAAGAGUAAAACUCAAAGGAAUUGACGGGGACCCGCACAAGCAGCGGAGCAUGUGGUUUAAUUCGAAGCAACGCGAAGAACCUUACCAGGGCUUGACAUCCUGCUGACAGGACCUUAACCGGUUCCUUCUUCGGACAGCAGAGACAGGUGGUGCAUGGUUGUCGUCAGCUCGUGUCGUGAGAUGUUGGGUUAAGUCCCGCAACGAGCGCAACCCUUGUCGCUAGUUACUAACAUUCAGUUGAGGACUCUAGCGAGACUGCCGAGGUCAACUCGGAGGAAGGUGGGGAUGACGUCAAAUCAUCAUGCCCCUUAUGUUCUGGGCUACACACGUGCUACAAUGGUCGGUACAAUGGGAUGCAAUACUGUGAAGUGGAGCAAAUCACCAAAACCGAUCCCAGUUCGGAUUGUAGGCUGCAACUCGCCUACAUGAAGUUGGAGUUGCUAGUAAUCGCAGAUCAGAAUGCUGCGGUGAAUGCGUUCCCGGGUCUUGUACACACCGCCCGUCACGCCAUGGAAGUUGGGGGUGCCCAAAGUCGGUUAAUAAAUCUAUCGC